CGUAGGGUGCGAGCGUUAAUCGGAAUUACUGGGCGUAAAGCGUGCGCAGGCGGUUUUGUAAGACAGGCGUGAAAUCCCCGGGCUCAACCUGGGAACUGCGCUUGUGACUGCAAGGCUAGAGUACGGCAGAGGGGGGUGGAAUUCCACGUGUAGCAGUGAAAUGCGUAGAGAUGUGGAGGAACACCAAUGGCGAAGGCAGCCCCCUGGGUCGAUACUGACGCUCAUGCACGAAAGCGUGGGUAGCAAACAGGAUUAGAUACCCUGGUAGUCCACGCCCUAAACGAUGUCAACUGGGUGUUGGGUGGGUAAAACCAUUUAGUACCGGAGCUAACGCGUGAAGUUGACCGCCUGGGGAGUACGGCCGCAAGGUUA
rnacentral:rRNA from 1 species